rnacentral:misc_RNA from 1 species
GUAGUGAUUUUUUGAAGUCUUUCGCACAAUGACUAUAAUAAUAUUGUGUGCAGUUCUUAUUUUUAUGGGCUAUGUCACUAAAGUGCUGGAAUAUAACCGUAAAUUAGCAGUCAAACAGAGUGAAUCCUCACAUUUAAUUCACAGAUUAGCUAGUGAUGGUCAGUGAGGAACAGUUAAGAUUUUUAAAAGUAUCGUGAUCAAAAAUGUAGAUUAUUUAAUUUAAUCUUAACGAAGUUCUAUCAUUCUUGAU